GGGGAUUUAGCUCAGCGGUAGAGCGCUUGCCUUGCAAGCACAAGGCCCUGGGUUCGGUCCCCAGCUCCG
rnacentral:tRNA from 1 species